GCACGUGUGAGGGGUGCAGGCACGGGAAAAAAAUAGAGAUUUUGUUUUUAACAUCUAAGCCACCGCCUUUGGUUGCUUGUGUAGUUGAUGCAGAUGAAAGAGGGCGUCGCUUGAGUUUCGUAUAUAAAAACAAGGAAUACGUGGUGUGGUUGGUAAACGCCGGCCGUACAAGCGAUAAGCGGUGUUUGUUGUGGGUGUUCUCUUUGCUAUCCCUCAAAAAAAAAAAAAUAAAAAAAUAAAAGAAUCUAGAUCUAUGCAUGACAACCGUAGAAUCGUCAUCCUCUGCGGCAGAAUCGGGUGACACGAGCAUGGGCGAUAACUCCCAAGACUAUCAGCAGCAGCGUAGGAGAAGGAACAUCCUCCAUCUCCUCGGUCGAGGAGGAAGAAAAGGAGAUGAGGAUGGUGAUGAUUAUAAGGAGGAUGAUGGUGGUGGUGAUGAUGAUGAUGAUGAUGUGACGCGGCAGCGGGUAUGGGAGACAUUUAGCAACAGCUUUCAGCACGUGCAGACAGUCCUUGACCAGAACAGGGUCUUGAUCGCUCAGGUCAACGAGAACCAUCAGUCGAAGCUCCCAGACAACCUCUCAAAAAACGUUGCCCUCAUUCGCGAGAUCAACACCAAUGUUGCCAAGGUCGUCUCCCUCUAUUCCGAUCUCUCUUCUACUUUCUCUGACAUCUUUCUCCACAGCCACUCCUCCUCCGAUGCUGAUGCUGAUGCCGCCACCACCAAUGACAACAUCAGCAACAGCGACAAGGCCUGAUCAUUUUCAUCGCAUCAGACAAAGGUUGCAGUUCCCUCCCUCACUCACCCACUCACGUGGAGAUUGGGGGCUGUGUUGUGUUGGUUCAUUUCAGUGAGAUAGUUGAGGUGGUUAUCAUCCAAAAGACACGACCAUGAUAUUGGUAAUGGCAACAUCUUCUACUCUACUACUUGUGUGACGCAGGUAUCUAUAUGAUGCCUUGUCCACAGAACUGUUUUGGAGAAACAACACUCAAUUCUGACCACCGUCGUGCUGAAUAAGUCCAAAUCAACAGCUAAAAAACCACCAGAGCUCCUCCCAGGUGUACAAAAUGCAAGGUCAAAUGAUCGAAAAAGGCCCGAACAAGGCCUUGACUUAAAAACCAAAAUGGACAAACACAAACAAAAAGAAUAAAAUAACAAAUUUGAGAAACGGACCACGCUUCACACAGGGACUGUGGCUCACAAAUACCAAUUUAAUUGCACAAUUUGAUUGGAUCAUACGGCCCAAUCUUGAUGUUUGUGUGAGUAAAGCUAAAGGUACGAUAUAAGUUAUUUAUACAAUUCGAUGUGAAUCAUAUGUUCAAAUUGAUGGGGGGAAUUUUAUACGAUAGCUAUAACACCAACCAUGCUUUGUGGGACAUCGAUGUUGGCUAGUAAUGAAACAACAUAUUCAUAGGAUGAGUGUAGUUGAAAUGAGGAUGUUGAGAUGGAUGAGUGGUGAGAUGAGGAAUGAUAUAAGUAGAAAUGAUUGCAUUUGAGGGAACUUAGAAGUAACACCAAUAGGCAGUGACAUGAGGGAAGUAUCAUGUGCAAUGGAGACCAAGUACUGCGCUAGUUAGGAGUGAGUUGGUGCAAGUUGAAGGCUUUAAAAGGGCAAGGGAAAGGCCCAAAAGGAUGUGGGCUGAGGAAGUAAGAAAAGAUGACUUACAAUUUGACUUAAGUUAUGGCCCUUGAUAGAGUGGAAUUGCGAAAUAGGAUUCCUGUAGCUAACACCAAUUAGUUGUGAUAAAGAUUGGAUGUUGAGGAUUUGAAUCAUAUGGUUGAAAUAAUGGAUUUUACAUUUUUAACAUCAAUGCGAGAGAGAGCGUGAAUGCUGGAAGGGUUGGAAAGAUAGAUGAAACAUAGUUACCAUCGAUGUUUGUACUACUAGUAUCGAUUUGGGGAUACCAAACAUGCAUUGAUAUCACCGAUAUUAUCGCUGAUACUCAGAAAUGUAUCGCUGAGGGAAACAUUAGAGAAACAAUGGGAAAAUGGUGGAAUUUCUCAAUGUAACUUCAGGAGAUGUUAAAAUAUGCAUAAUUUGCAUAUUUAGGAAUCAAAUAACUGCAAGAAAGACGCAUACAUGAUAAGUUUUCCUUUAAUGGAGGCCUAAAAGCAUGUAACGCUAACUCAUGAAAACAUUGGAGAAGCUUGGGGAAAAUAGUGAAAUUUCUCAAUUAUACUUCAACAAAUGUUAAAAAUAAAAUACACAUAUUUGCAUAUUUAGGAAUAAAAUAAUAGCAAAAAAGAUGCAUACAUAAUAAAUUUUCCCUUAUUGGGGACCUAACAGCAUGUAUUGUUGGCUCAAGAAAACAUUGGGGAAACAUGGGGAAAAUGGUGGAUUCAUCCAUCCGUCCAUGCAUGCACGGAUGCACAUACAUACAUACAAACACAUACAUGAUCCAUCCAACCAACCAUCCAUGCGUGCAUAAUACAUACAUACAAUGAAUGGCAUACGCAUAUGCACACAUGUGUGAUCUAUCCACCCAUCCGUCCAUGCGUGCAUUUCAUCAUACAACCAUAUGCCCAUGGAAAUGAUUUUUUUUUUU